rfam:Zea mays cultivar B73 chromosome 5, whole genome shotgun sequence.
GCCUUUGAUGACAUGAUGGUUACAGACGAGGCAAAAUUUUGUCUAAUCUGUUGAUAUUUAUCAUGAACUAGGACGGUCUGAGGC